UACAGAGGCCCCAAGCGUUAGGCGGAAUCACUGGGCUUAAAGCGUGUGUAGGCGGACUUCUAAGUACCUUGUGAAAUCCCACGGCUUAACCGUGGAACUGCUUGGUAUACUGGUCGUCUUGAGCCACUUAGGGGUUACCGGAACAAAUGGUGGAGCGGUGAAAUGCGUAGAGAUCGGGAGGAACAUCAGUGGCGAAGGCGGCCUUCUGGACCAGUACUGACGCUGAGGCACGAAAGCGUGGGGAGCAAACAGG
rnacentral:rRNA from 1 species